rnacentral:rRNA from 1 species
GAUGAACGCUAGCGGCAGGCCUAAUACAUGCAAGACGAACGGUAAGUUGAGUAGCAAUACUUGACCAAGAGUGUCGUAAGGGUGCGUAACACGUAUGCAAUCUGCCCUCAACAGGAGGAUAGCUCCCCGAAAGGGGAAUUAAUACUGCGUAAGAUUGUAGUUCGGCAUCGGACAGCAAUUAAAACCGAGGUGGUUGAGGAUGAGCGUGCGCAUGAUUAGUUAGUUGGCGGGUAACGGCCCACCAAGACGAUGAUCAUUAGGGGAACUGAGAGGUUGAUCCCCCACACUGGCACUGAGAUACGGGCCAGACUCCUACGGGAGGCAGCAGUAGGGAAUAUUGGACAAUGGUGCGAGCCUGAUCCAGCCAUGCCGCGUGCAGGAAGACGGCCUUCUGGUUGUAAACUAGCUUUGUCCAGGGAGUAAAAGUAACCUCGUGGGAAAGUAGUAAGGUACGUACGGUGAAGUAA